GACAGAGGGUGUAACAGUGUUGGUGAAUUACUGGGCGUAAAGCGCGUGUAGGCUGCUUGGAAAGUCGGAUGUGAAAGCCCUGGGCUUAACCCAGGAAGUGCAUUCGAAACUUCCAAGCUCGAGUCCUGGAGAGGGUGGCGGAAUUCUCGGUGUAGAGGUGAAAUUCGUAGAAUAUCGAGAGGAACACCGGUGGCGAAGGCGGCUACCUGGACAGUGACUGACGUGAGACGCGAAAGCGUGGGGAGCAAAACAGGAUU
rnacentral:rRNA from 1 species